rnacentral:rRNA from 1 species
UACGUAGGGUGCAAGCGUUGUCCGGAAUUAUUGGGCGUAAAGAGCUCGUAGGCGGUUUGUCGCGUCUGCUGUGAAAACCCGAGGCUCAACCUCGGGCCUGCAGUGGGUACGGGCAGACUAGAGUGCGGUAGGGGAGACUGGAAUUCCUGGUGUAGCGGUGAAAUGCGCAGAUAUCGGGAGGAACACCGGUGGCGAAGGCGGGUCUCUGGGCCGUAACUGACGCUGAGGAGCGAAAGCGUGGGGAGCGAACAGG